rnacentral:rRNA from 1 species
AUGCUGCUGUUGGUGGUGGCUGGUGAGGCGACGCUGGAAAGCGUGGAGGCGUCGUCGACGAAUAAGAGAAAAAUAAGAGGACAUACCGUACAUCUCCCCACCGCUGCUCACCUCGAUGGCUCGACCACCUCUGUUGUGCCGCCGACGACACAGGGGGACGCCGAGGUGAUCAGGCUUGUGUGGGCAGAGGACCAGCGAUGGGGUCGACGGUGCUCACCCCGGCCCCCUUGGGAUCUAGGGGAAGGGGCUAUGGCGGCGGCGGCACUGGGAGAGGCGGCGGCGACAGCGGCGCUCGGAGAGGAGGCACCUUCUUUAUUUCUACUUCUACUUUUCUUCUGCACCUAUAGUUUCAAUGCUUUAUCUGCUCGUGGAGCUAUGCUUCUGUUGCAUUGGGCUAAGGUUUGA